UUUCUCAAUUAAACAUCCCUGCUGUACCCCCAGUGCACAGUUGCACAGACACUGAGCAGAUCUGGCAUAAACCAAGGACCUUGGGUGUUAGGCCAGGUCCGGUGGGUGACAUGGAGGUCCGCAAACCCAAAAAUUCAACCGCGGUUUGUGUGAGAAGUUCUCUCUACAAAGCACUGGACGGGGAAAUGCCAGAUCUAGCCACAUUAAGAGUGGCAGAGGUAUACAAGCACUUUCCUCCUUUGCUUGCACCUCUAGUGACCACCAUGGGCAUAUCAGCAGAAGACCCAUUAGUUCAUUCAGCUUAUGGGGCUGUCCAGGCAGGGAGUGUGCUGUCAUUCCAGCUAAAACCACCAGAAAUGCGGGAAAUCAUCAACCUCCCAGGCGCCCCUCCCCAACCUUCUAUUCCCAUCCAAAGCUAUAGGCUUGAGCCAACCACAUGCGCUUAUGUGUUCUCAGAGGAGGAACAUGUAUAUAUGAAAUCGCUACAGGUGUCAUUCGACAUGGCCCACAGGGUUGAAGCUGCAACACAGGAGCAGAGCUCAUGCCAGGAAUGGCAUCGACUGAGAAAGAUGCGAGUCACAUCUACACGCUUUCACGAGGCAUGCCAUGUUCGAUGUCAUACAUCUGCUGAAAAUCUGGCACAGAGAAUUUUGAGGGGGACUGUCAUGACAAAGAACAUGAGGAGAGGAAUCGAUAUGGAGCUAGCUGCCGUGACAGAGUACUGCAGUUUAAAAAAUGUGAAUUAUUCACCCUGCGGGUUCAUUAUACACCCUGAUGCUCCAUGGCUGGGUUGUUCUCCCGAUGGAGUCGUUUUCGAUCCUUCUGAUAACCCACCGUAUGGCCUGCUUGAAAUAAAAUGCUUCAACAUCCAGAGUUCUGUUGACUGUCCCUACCUGAAAAUGUCGGAUGGUUCUUUGCAGCUUAAGGAGGCAGCACAAGUAUUACUGGCAAGUGCAAGGUCAGAUCCUCCUAACAGGUUUAGAGUGGUGUGAUUUUGUUGUAUGUGUGCAGGAGGACAUGCUUGUUGAGCGUAUAUACAAAAAUAGCGAUGUAAUGCGCACCAUUAGAGACCGAGCAGAUCUGUUUUUUUUUUACCACUACCUACAGAAGUGUUUGCAUGUUUAGGUCAUUUUUAGAUAACCAGUGAAGUAUUUCCCAAUUUCUACAAUUGUACAAAUGUUGGUUUAUUUAAUGACUGUGUGUUACAGUGUGGCCACAUACCACUGGUGGUCCAAUCAAUUAUAAUAUACAGCAUUAUUGUUAUUGUAUUCUAAUUUGUUAUUUACACUUUAAAGAAUAUUUACAUAUAUACACAAAAUAAUCAUACACACACAC